rnacentral:lncRNA from 10 species
UUACAUUAUAGUGUCAGGAGAUGAGCAGCAAAUGAAUGAACAAGCUGACGCUGAUGCAGACAUGGCUUUCUCAAAGUGCUGUAGAGAAGUGUAUUCUUUUGAAGGCAAAGGACAGUUCAGCCAGUGAAGUUGUGUGGAGGGAGUGAGAUAGCUCGAUCAAACCUAAAGAGACUUGUGGACCUUGGAGAGUCUUAGGCUUUUAUUUUUGGUGAGAAAAAAACAAUGGGAAGAUCUUGAGCAAAUCAGCGACAAGAUUUGUAUCUUGGCGUCUUGUAUCUUUGGGAGCCCUCAACAGAAAUGCACGGAUUCAUGAACAGAGUUUCUGUUUCUGUCCUCUGGUGAAGAGUGUGGUAGCUGUUCCCUGCCCUGAGAAACUGUGGAAGGUCCCUCUCAGCAUUGCUGUCUGCCUGAACCCACACUCCUCCUCUGCGGAAGGGGCAAGCACCCAUACAUGGGCUGUGCUCAUGUCAAGUGUAGACCCGCUGCCAUCACAGGGAAUGACAGGGAAAGGCAAAGCAGCCCCUUUCUCAAAUCCUGGCACAGUGAAAGCACAAAGGGUGCUAUAUGGAUCUAGGGGAGGGGCCCAGUGAGCAGCCUGCCAUCAUCAGCUCCAUCAGACAGCGAGACCCCAAACGUGGCUUCAUUCAAGCAGACCUUGCCAUGGUGUCAGCACCUCGGGCCUUGGACACUGCCUCGUGCUUCCCUCUGCUCCAGUCUGGUUUUCCAGCUUCUUUACUAAGAGAGUUCUAGGAAAUCCUCAUUUGCGUAAGCAAGUCAAAGGUGCUCUCUGUUGCUUGCAACCCAGGAGCCAUGACCAGCAUACUGUAUUCCACAUCUGUGAAACGGGCACAGCUUCCAGUUUUAUUGGCAUUGGGUGCUAACCAGAUCCCUGUGGUAAGUGUUACACCAGAGGGUCCCAAAUUUGUUGGUCUCAGGACUCCUCAAAAUUAACGAGAACCCCAAAGGGCUUUUGUCUAUGUAGGUUGUAUCUAUCAAUAUUUCUGUGUUAGAAAUAAAAAGGAAUAAUUUUUUAAACACGGGAAUCACAGCACAGAUUGAUUUCAUCAGCCAGCAAAGCAAUGAUGUCCUCGCAUUUCAUGGAGCUGCUGGAAAACUCCACCGUACUCUCACAAGAGAAUGAGGACUAAAAGGCAAAUCGUGGCCUUAGGAAUACCCAGGGGUCCCGGGGCCACACAUUUGAAGAACUGCUGUGCUAGGUAAUCCUUACAAUGGCCCUCGGCCCAUUUUACAGCUGAGAGGACUGAUGCUCGGAACUGAGAAGAGGCUGACUCUAGGGCUAGGGAGUGGAUUUGAACCUGGUCUUGAGACUCUAAAGCCUGAACAUCACCUCUUCCCUUUGCCCCAUCAAGAGUGGUCCAGAGGAAGGACGACUCCCUCUCACAGUUCCCAGAUAUCACCUCUGCCCUCUGCACACUUGCCCCUUCCUCUUCCUGUUCACCAGCUGCCACGCCUCACUUCCUGUCAGCCUCCAGCUAGGCAGCCUGGGGCUCGCUUUCCAGCCUCCAUCCCAGGGAAGCGGCUGCCUCCUGAGGGAGGCCAGGCCUGGACAGGUCCCCGAUGUCUGUUUCCAAGCCCGACUCAGUCCGUCCUGCAGGGUGGCAGAUGCUUCUCCCAUCUUGGUAGUUCCUGCUAUGCAUGGAAGCCAUCGCCUUCCAGGGGCUGGCAUAGCUGUGAUUAAGAGCGGGCUUUGGCCCCACAUGAAGCUAGGUGCAAAUUCUUGCCCCACCCCAUGCUAGCGGGUGGUUCCGGAUGUGUAUGUUCCCUCUUGAAGCUUCCUUUUCCCUGCCUGUAAAAUGGGACUAAUGGUGUAAAGGCCCCUAGGUCUGACCUACCUGUCCGUCUCUGGUCCUCCCUCUCUGCACUCAUUACUCUGCGUCUAAUUAGUCUUCCCUCCAUUUCCUCCGUGUGCCUCGUGACUUUGCACACCCUGUUCCGCUGCCUGGAAGGUCCUCCCCCACCUCUCUCCUUUCCGUCCUCAGAGCCACCUUUCAGAUCUCAGCUGAAUGAGGCAUUCCUUGGUAACCCUGUUCAGACAGAAAUUAUAGAGGCCACAGUGAGAGCGCAAAAUGGUGAUCUUAGCGAUGCCAUCAUAUGUCACUUAACG